rnacentral:rRNA from 1 species
UGGGGAAUAUUGCACAAUGGGCGCAAGCCUGAUGCAGCCAUGCCGCGUGUGUGAAGAAGGCCUUCGGGUUGUAAAGCACUUUCAGCGGGGAGGAAGGCGUUAAGGUUAAUAACCUUGGCGAUUGACGUUACCCGCAGAAGAAGCACCGGCUAACUCCGUGCCAGCAGCCGCGGUAAUACGGAGGGUGCAAGCGUUAAUCGGAAUUACUGGGCGUAAAGCGCACGCAGGCGGUCUGUCAAGUCGGAUGUGAAAUCCCCGGGCUCAACCUGGGAACUGCAUUCGAAAAUGGCAGGCUAGAGUCUUGUAGAGGGGGGUAGAAUUCCAGGUGUAGCGGUGAAAUGCGUAGAGAUCUGGAGGAAUACCGGUGGCGAAGGCGGCCCCCUGGACAAAGACUGACGCUCAGGUGCGAAAGCGUGGGGAGCAAACAGG